CCUACGGGAGGCAGCAGUGAGGGAUAUUGGUCAAUGGGGGAAACCCUGAACCAGCAACGCCGCGUGAGGGAAGACGGUUUUCGGAUUGUAAACCUCUGUCCUCUGUGAAGAUAAUGACGGUAGCAGAGGAGGAAGCUCCGGCUAACUACGUGCCAGCAGCCGCGGUAAUACGUAGGGGGCAAGCGUUAUCCGGAUUUACUGGGUGUAAAGGGAGCGUAGACGGCGUGCCAAGUCUGAUGUGAAAGGCCGGGGCUCAACCCCGGGACUGCAUUGGAAACUGGCAUGCUGGAGUGCCGGAGGGGCAA
rnacentral:rRNA from 1 species